GCAGCCUCAAGAUGCUGAGUGUGGUAUCUUACCGAUAGUAAGCAAGAAAAUAGGGACCUCAGUCCUAUAACCCAAGGAAUUGAACUUGAGCAACCACAUGAAUGAGCUCUGGAGCUGUUCUUCCUAAGAGUUACCAGAUAAGAACCCAAUCCAAUUGUCACCUUUGACUUCAAAUUUGUGAGGCCCCAAGCAAAAACCCAGGUGAGCCUGCCUGGACUUCAGACCUCCAGUACUGUAAUAUUAUACGUGGGUGUUGUGUUAAGUAGCUAAGUUUGUGCUCAUUCAUUGCACCGCAACAACAACAAAAAAGAAUAUAUCAUUCCUGUUUGCAAAGAAUCAUCACCUCCCUGUUAAAGGUGAAGAAAGUGACAUGGGACAUGAUGUGACUGGCCAACUAAUCAUCCUAAGUGAUGUGGCCUCUGGAAGGGGCAGUUCUGUCAGACGGCAGUCUGUCCCCGAUGUUGGCAGAAGGCUGACAGGUCUGGCUGCAGGAGACCCUGAGUACUUACUGCUGUCCAUCAAACAAGGGAAAGGACCACCUCACAUGUCCAAACGGGGCUGGAUGUUGUCAAAUUCCUCACGGCUGUCAGUCUCCUUUUCUCCAGCCUGGCGACAGGUGUCCCGACAGAGCCCAGUUACCAAAGGCAGUCACCGACUGCUUGUGCGCCUUCCAGAGGAGCUCGUGUUCCAGCAUCAAAGACUGAAGCUUGUGCAUUGAGAUAACGAGCUGCUCCCAGGCAGGGACUGACUCACUUAUUUACCAGACUUUCUCCUUUUCCUCGACAAUAGUGUCAGCCCUUAAGAGCUGCUCAGUAAAUGUCUUUUGAAUGGACUAAGGCACAAGCAUCUGGUGCUUCCAAUGCUAUCGGCUUUAAUAAACACCAUUGAGUGGCAUCUUGUGAAGAUUAGCUAAAACAACCUGGCAGCGUCAGCGGGUAGUUAUUUUGGUCCCCAUUUUAUUUAGGAGGAAUCUGCAAGAAGUUAAGUAACUUGCUCAAGAGGCACAAAGCUUGUUAAUGGCAGAGUCGGGAUCUGAACUCUGGUCUGUCCAUUUCCACACCGCGGGGAGUUUGGUGCACGUCACUGAGAAGCACUGUGGCACUGAUACCGUGCAAAGAGCCGUGGAAACACAGAAGUCACUGCUUAUUCUGCCUGGUAGAAUGACGACAGUCUUCACAGAGGAAAUACUGCAAGUUUUGUGAGCUGAAUAUUGAGAUGCGUUCUGCAAUGUGGAGAAGGGCCGGGGGGCAUUCAAGUCAGCGCUGCAUUUGCAAAAGGCAGAGCAUGGGUAGGAAGAAGCGAGACUGUGCGGCUGCACACAGGGAACGGGUUCUAAGUCAGGCAGGUAAGAGGGUGGGGGAUGAUGUGCUCAGGCAAGUUAGAGUCAGAGUAUAGGUGAGGCACGAUUCUAUCCAACUUGGACAGCUUCCAGAGAAUUCUAUAAUAAGCCAGCUGCAUGGCCGGAAUGUGCACUUAUCUUUGCAGAGUUUGGCAGUGGAGAAAAAUCUUCUGGGGAAUAGUUCUCCCAGAAGGGAGACCCCUCCCUUCCCCCUACCUUCUUUGCCCCCAGUACAGCAAACGUGUGACCUCCAGCAGUGUACCUUCCAGAAGAAAGUACUAGUUAAAUUCUCUUAAGGAACUUAGGCAACCAAUUGGACCCUUAAGGUCUUUGGGUUUCCUGCUUAUAAAGGUUCUGUCUUUGAUGCCCUCAUUGCUAGUAGCAGCUGCAUGGUUUGUGGAAGUUAAUGUCCCUUUUCUCAUCUCUGCAGAUUGAGGACACCACAAAAGAACGCUGCGGGGUGUACAGCCACAAACUUGACAUUUCUAGCUCCAGAUCUGCACAGGCAAUGGCUGUGCUGCAGGGACUGUCCCCUGUGCCUACUCCCUGGUCAUCUGAGUGGAUCUGUAUUGCUGUUUGGAAAUAUCAGCCUCUGUUGUACAUCUUCCAACCAGCUGGCCGGAGUGGGAGGUGGAGUCCCUUGCUAUGAAACAGAGCUUUACUUUGCUGAUAACGUGUGUCCGUAAUGUAUUGAAGGUAAUUUAGAAAUGCUGUGAGCCCAAACUUCAUUUUAUGGAGGAAAAUAACUGAGGCUCAGAGACGUAGAGUGUCACGCUCAGGGUCACCCAGCAGCCCUGCCUUGUCCUAUGCAGUAGCCACUCCCCUCCUGUGCCCACAAAGCCCUUGAAAUGGGGCCAGUCUGACCGGAGUGUGCUUUCAGUGUAAAUACACACAGGAUUUCAUUGACUCCGUAGGAACAUAAAUAUCUCAUUGAUAUUUUUUACAUUGAUUAUAUGUUGAAAUGAUGACAUUUUGGAAACUUUUGGCUAAAUUAAAUGUAUUAUCAAAAAUAAGAUCA